rnacentral:rRNA from 1 species
UGGGGAAUUUUGGACAAUGGGGGCAACCCUGAUCCAGUAAUGCCGCGUGUGUGAAGAAGGCCUUCGGGUUGUAAAGCACUUUUGUCCGGAAAGAAAUCGCGCUGGUUAAUACCUGGCGUGGAUGACGGUACCGGAAGAAUAAGCACCGGCUAACUACGUGCCAGCAGCCGCGGUAAUACGUAGGGUGCGAGCGUUAAUCGGAAUUACUGGGCGUAAAGCGUGCGCAGGCGGUUUUGUAAGACAGGCGUGAAAUCCCCGGGCUUAACCUGGGAAUUGCGCUUGUGACUGCAAGGCUAGAGUGCGUCAGAGGGGGGUAGAAUUCCACGUGUAGCAGUGAAAUGCGUAGAGAUGUGGAGGAAUACCGAUGGCGAAGGCAGCCCCCUGGGACGUGACUGACGCUCAUGCACGAAAGCGUGGGGAGCAAACAGGAUUAGAUACCCUGGUAGUCCACGCCCUAAACGAUGUCAACUAGUUGUUGGGGAUUCAUUUUCUCAGUAACGUAGCUAACGCGUGAAGUUGACCGCCUGGGGAGUACGGUCGCAAGAUUA